GACGAACGCUGGCGGCGUGCUUAACACAUGCAAGUCGAACGGAAGGCCCUGCUUUUGUGGGGUGCUCGAGUGGCGAACGGGGGAGUAACACGUGAGUAACCUGCCCUUGACUUUGGGAUAACUUCAGGAAACUGGGGCUAAUACCGGAUAGGAGCUCCUGCUGCAUGGUGGGGGUUGGAAAGUUUCGGCGGUUGGGGAUGGACUCGCGGCUUAUCAGCUUGUUGGUGGGGUAGUGGCUUACCAAGGCUUUGCCGGGUAGCCGGCCUGAGAGGGUGGCCGGCCACAUGAGUACUGAGGUACGGACCAGACUCCUACGGGGGACAGCAGGGGGAAGUAUUGCACAAUGGGCGGGAGCCUGAUGCGACAACGCCGCGUGCGGGAUGACGGCCUUCGGGUUAUAAACCGCUUUCGCCUGUGACGAAGCGUGAGUGACGGUAAUGGGUAAAGAAGCACCGGCUAACUACGUG
rnacentral:rRNA from 1 species